ensembl:snoRNA
GGUAUCUUAAAAAUAUAUUGCAUGAGCAUGAUGAAGUGAAGCUCAAUGUGAGUACUCUGAAGUCC